rnacentral:rRNA from 1 species
CAGCCGCCACGGGAAUACGGAGGGUGCAAGCGUUAAUCGGAAUUACUGGGCGUAAAGCGUGCGCAGGCGGUUUGUAAGACAGGUGUGAAAUCCCCGGGCUUAACCUGGGAACUGCGCCUGUGACUGCACAGCUAGAGUAUGGCAGAGGGGGGUGGAAUUCCCGGUGUAGCGGUGAAAUGCGUAGAGAUCGGGAGGAACACCGAUGGCGAAGGCAGCCCCCUGGGCCAACACUGACGCUCAUGCACGAAAGCGUGGGGAGCAAACAGGAUUAGAUACCCGCGUAGUCCCUGUCUCUUAUACA